rnacentral:ncRNA from 12 species
AGCCUAAACUAAGAGAUUGGCAUGGCGAAAGGAAUCCAUUCAGAGUAAACAGCUCCUAGUCAGAGCACUCUGAACGGUUAUGUUGGGAAACCAACAUAGAUAGCGAAAGCUAUC